rnacentral:rRNA from 1 species
UAGCAUAUCAAUAAGCGGAGGAAAAGAAACCAACAGGGAUUGCCUUAGUAGCGGCGAGCGAAGCGGCAACAGCUCAAAUUUGAAAUCUGGCUACUUUGUAGUCCGAGUUGUAAUUUGCAGAGGAUGCUUUUGGUGAGGUGCCUUCCGAGUUCCCUGGAACGGGACGCCAGAGAGGGUGAGAGCCCCGUACGGUUGGACACCAAACCUUUGUAUAGCUCCUUCAACGAGUCGAGUAGUUUGGGAAUGCUGCUCUAAAUGGGAGGUAUAUCUCUUCUAAAGCUAAAUACCGGCUAGAGACCGAUAGCGCACAAGUAGAGUGAUCGAAAGAUGAAAAGCACUUUGAAAAGAGAGUUAAACAGCACGUGAAAUUGUUGAAAGGGAAGCGCCUAUGACCAGACUUGUUUCUGUCAGUUUUGCUUGUUUUCGGACUUGUUUACUCUGUCAGUACAGGCCAACAUCAGUUUGUUGUUUGGGAGAAAGGCUUAGGGAAUGUGGCUCCCUCGGGAGUGUUAUAGCCCUUUGCAUAAUACCAUUCGGCAGACUGAGGACCGCGCUUCGGCAAGGAUGUUGGCGUAAUGGUCAUCAGCGACCCGUCUUGAAACACGGACCAAGGAGUCAACCUUAUGUGCGAGUGUUUGGGUGUAAAACCCCAGCGCGUAAUGAACGUGAACGUAGGUGAGAGCUUCGGCGCAUCAUCGACCGAUUCUGAUGUUCUCGGAUGGAUUUGAGUAAGAGCAUAUAGGGUUGGACCCGAAAGAAGGUGAACUAUGCUUGUAUAGGGUGAAGCCAGAGGAAACUCUGGUGGAGGCUCGCAGCGGUUCUGACGUGCAAAUCGAUCGUCAAAUAUGAGCAUGGGGGCGAAAGACUAAUCGAACCUUCUAGUAGCUGGUUCCAGCCGA